rnacentral:rRNA from 1 species
ACUCCUACGGGAGGCAGCAGUAGGGAAUUUUCCACAAUGGGCGCAAGCCUGAUGGAGCAACACCGCGUGAGUGAAGAAGGGUUUCGGCUCGUAAAGCUCUGUUGUUAAAGAAGAACACGUAUGAGAGUAACUGUUCAUACGUUGACGGUAUUUAACCAGAAAGUCACGGCUAACUACGUGCCAGCAGCCGCGGUAAUACGUAGGUGGCAAGCGUUAUCCGGAUUUAUUGGGGCGUAAAGAGAGUGCAGGCGGUUUUCUAAGUCUGAUGUGAAAGCCUUCGGCUUAACCGGAGAAGUGCAUCGGAAACUGGAUAACUUGAGUGCAGAAGAGGGUAGUGGAACUCCAUGUGUAGCGGUGGAAUGCGUAGAUAUAUGGAAGAACACCAGUGGCGAAGGCGGCUACCUGGUCUGCAACUGACGCUGAGACUCGAAAGCAUGGGUAGCGAACAGGAUUAGAUACCCUGGUAGGAUAGCG